GUUCGAGCGGCCCAGACGCCGGCGGGGCGGCCGAGGCUGCUGUGAGAGGGCGCUCGAGGCUGCCGAGAGCUAGCUAGCGAAGGAGGCGGGGAGGCGGCGUCUGCACUCGCUGGCUCGCUCGCUUGCUUCCCGGCGCCGCUGCGGGUCGGCGCUGCGUUUCCUGCUCGCGAACCACUCCGUUGCCCGCGCCCGGAGCAGCAGCCCCUCGGCAGGGUCCGGGCUCGGUUCGGGAGUCUUGCGUGCCGGAGGUCACCGCGCGGUGAGCGAGCUAGCGCCACACCUGUGGAGCCGGCGGCCGUCGGAGGAGCCGGUCGGGAUCCUGCCGCGUGCGUGCUCUGGGGAGCGGGCAGCCCGGGUCCCGGGGGAGGCGCGCCCCCGCGGCUGGGCGCCGCGGGCACCAUGGGGCUCCCAGCUCUCGAGUUCAGCGACUGCUGCCUCGAUAGCCCGCACUUCCGAGAGACGCUCAAGUCGCACGAAGCAGAGCUGGACAAGACCAACAAAUUCAUCAAGGAGCUCAUCAAGGACGGGAAGUCACUCAUAACCGCGCUCAAGAGCAGAAUGAUACUCUUACUCAUUGGAAUCAUGACCACCUGGAACCUUAGUGAUCUUGAUUUGUCUUCAGCGAAGCGGAAGUUUGCAGAUUCCUUAAAUGAAUUUAAAUUUCAGUGCAUAGGAGAUGCAGAAACAGAUGAUGAGAUGUGUAUAGCAAGGUCUUUGCAGGAGUUUGCCACUGUCCUCAGGAAUCUUGAAGAUGAACGGAUACGGAUGAUUGAGAAUGCCAGCGAGGUGCUCAUCACUCCCUUGGAGAAGUUUCGAAAGGAACAGAUCGGGGCUGCCAAGGAAGCCAAAAAGAAGUAUGACAAAGAGACAGAAAAGUAUUGUGGCAUCUUAGAAAAACACUUGAAUUUGUCUUCCAAAAAGAAAGAAUCUCAGCUUCAGGAGGCAGACAGCCAAGUGGACCUGGUCCGGCAGCAUUUCUAUGAAGUAUCCCUGGAAUAUGUCUUCAAGGUGCAGGAAGUCCAAGAGAGAAAGAUGUUUGAGUUUGUGGAGCCCCUGCUGGCCUUCCUGCAAGGACUCUUCACUUUCUAUCACCAUGGUUACGAACUGGCCAAGGAUUUCGGCGACUUCAAGACACAGUUAACCAUUAGCAUACAGAAUACAAGAAAUCGCUUUGAAGGCACUAGAUCAGAAGUGGAAUCACUGAUGAAAAAGAUGAAAGAGAAUCCCCUUGAGCACAAGACCAUCAGUCCCUACACCAUGGAGGGAUACCUCUACGUGCAGGAGAAACGUCACUUUGGAACUUCUUGGGUGAAGCACUACUGUACAUAUCAACGGGAUUCCAAACAAAUCACCAUGGUACCAUUUGACCAAAAGUCAGGAGGAAAAGGGGGAGAAGAUGAAUCAGUUACCCUCAAAUCCUGCACACGGCGGAAAACAGAUUCCAUUGAGAAGAGGUUUUGCUUUGAUGUGGAAGCAGUAGACAGGCCAGGGGUUAUCACCAUGCAAGCAUUGUCGGAAGAGGACCGGAGGCUCUGGAUGGAAGCCAUGGAUGGCCGGGAACCUGUCUACAACUCGAACAAAGACAGCCAGAGUGAAGGGACUGCGCAGUUGGACAGCAUUGGCUUCAGCAUAAUCAGGAAAUGCAUCCAUGCUGUGGAAACCAGAGGGAUCAACGAGCAAGGGCUGUAUCGAAUUGUGGGGGUCAACUCCAGAGUGCAGAAGUUGCUGAGUGUCCUGAUGGACCCCAAGACUGCUUCUGAGACAGAAACAGAUAUCUGUGCUGAAUGGGAGAUAAAGACCAUCACCAGUGCUCUGAAGACCUACCUAAGAAUGCUUCCAGGACCACUCAUGAUGUAUCAGUUUCAAAGAAGUUUCAUCAAAGCAGCAAAAUUGGAGAACCAGGAGUCUCGGGUCUCUGAAAUCCACAGCCUUGUUCAUCGGCUCCCAGAAAAAAAUCGGCAGAUGUUACAGCUGCUCAUGAACCACUUGGCAAAUGUUGCUAACAACCACAAGCAGAAUUUGAUGACGGUGGCAAACCUUGGCGUAGUGUUUGGACCCACUCUGCUGAGGCCUCAGGAAGAAACAGUAGCAGCCAUCAUGGACAUCAAAUUUCAGAACAUUGUCAUUGAGAUCCUAAUCGAAAACCAUGAAAAGAUAUUUAACACCGUGCCCGAUAUGCCUCUCACCAAUGCCCAGCUGCACCUGUCUCGGAAGAAGAGCAGUGACUCCAAGCCCCCGUCCUGCAGCGAGAGGCCCCUGACGCUCUUCCACACCGUUCAGUCAACAGAGAAACAGGAACAAAGGAACAGCAUCAUCAACUCCAGUUUGGAAUCUGUCUCAUCAAAUCCAAACAGCAUCCUUAAUUCCAGCAGCAGCUUACAGCCCAACAUGAACUCCAGUGACCCAGACCUGGCUGUAGUCAAACCCACCCGGCCCAACUCACUCCCCCCGAAUCCAAGCCCAACUUCACCCCUCUCGCCAUCUUGGCCCAUGUUCUCGGCGCCAUCCAGCCCUAUGCCCACCUCAUCCACGUCCAGCGACUCCUCCCCCGUCAGGUCUGUUGCAGGGUUUGUUUGGUUUUCUGUUGCUGCCGUUGUUCUCUCAUUGGCUUGGUCCUCUCUUCAUGCAGUGUUCAGCCUCCUCGUCAACUUUGUUCCCUGCCAUCCAAACCUGCACUUGCUUUUUGACAGGCCAGAAGAAGCGGUACGUGAAGACUUCAGGCACUUACACAUCUAUCAUUUCAUUCUAUCCUCAUGUGAGAAUGAGAAGAGAAAUGGCCUGAAACCUAUUGUGGAAAAAGAAAACUAAAGCACAGUGAGGUGACUUGGACACGAUGACAUGACUAAAUGAGAGCCAAUCCAGAAUUCAGGACUUCUCCCCCUCAGCUCAGCACUCUUUCCUCCAAACACCACACCGUUCCGGAAGGCGAAAGCCUUGUAUGCCUGCAAAGCUGAACAUGACUCAGAACUUUCGUUCACAGCAGGCACGGUCUUCGAUAAUGUUCACCCAUCUCAGGAGCCUGGCUGGUUGGAGGGGACUCUGAACGGAAAGACUGGCCUCAUCCCUGAGAAUUACGUGGAGUUCCUCUAACCGUGGGCCCCAGCAGAACUGCUGAGCUUUACAUGGUAUCCAUGACAACUGCUGAUUCCAGUGUCGUAGGCCAUUUCUCUUUGCCACUGAGAAAUGCAGCGUGACUGACUCUGUUGCUACCUGUCAACAUGAAUGUUUCUGUGAGCUCUGGUGUCACUCAUCUCCAUGAUCAUCUCAGCCAACACUCAUCAAUACUGCAAGAAAAGAAGUCAAUCAGCAGAAGGAGACCAUUUGCUUUUGAUAACUAAGAGGAAGACUUGUAAAGCCGUUUUCUCAUGAGUACCCUAAAUAGGGGGCACUCAUUUUGUUUCAACAGUCCAAACGCCCAACCUUCAGAAAGAGGAAGUCAGAUAGAAGUAGUCUCCGAGAGCACACUGUGUAGCUAAGUCUACUGGGGCUGGGUGAAGAAAUUGGCGCUGAGAUCCAGGCUGGAUCCGUUGCUUUUGUUUACAGUAGGCACUCUCUCUACCCCACCUCUCAGUACUUGAGACUUAAAGUGCUACAGGCAGCUGAGUCUGUUUGCAUGCAGGAUGAAGAGGGUUAAAGCACUGUUUAUAUAAGAUCCAAUCUCUCACCAUCUCUAAAGCAGCCGUUGGCCCGUCAUCAGUGAGAUACAGUCCAGUCUUCUCAUGCACGGGAACACACACACCCUGCGUUUCUCCCUCCCAGGCUAGGAACCUCUCUGCCACCAAGGGCUGCCAUCCAUCGCCUAGUAACCACGGCAACCCAACCUACUCUAAAACCAAACCAAAAAAAAAAAUAAAAUAACACAUCCUCUUUGCAUGACACAUUUUUUCUCUCCCCUUUUUGGUAUACUUUUAUUGAAUGGUUUUCUAACAACUUGAAGCACAGGAUCAAGGAAUUAGGGUGGUCUACUUGAGGCAGACGGGAUAGUAGCUGGGAACUGUUCCCCUUCUGAUGAAUUUCGGCAGCAUCGGGAUAUAUUUGGAGCACACCCUAGUAACCUCUUGAGAUUAAAUUACAUAGUCUUAAUAUUUCUGUUCCUCCAUGCAACUGAUGUUUGUUUUUUAAAGGGUAAGAUGCUGCCUCCCAAUGGGUGACACCAUCUGACUGGUUUCCCCAUGUCUUCCCGUUCACCCAUCCCUGCUCCCACCCUUGCCUGCCUCUAACCCACCACUGGCCAGCCCCCUUGCCCUGCUCUGGGCUGCUGAACACUGGUGCUGUGGUGGUUUUCAAGGUUAAUUCCUAGGCUAACCGUAUGGCCUAUAGUUUAAAAGGACAUCUAUAUUCACUGCCACUCCGAAAAAGGGAAUUAUUUCUCAGUCUUUUGAGGCAUGAGACUAAUAUAGGCCAUUGUGAUUCAGAAAGAAACCCAAGGUUAGAGGGUGGGAUGGGUACCCUCUGAAAAAGGGAAUUUGCUGAUGAAAAGAGGCUGGAUCUUGUGGAAGGCUGCCUUGGAUGGGGAAGUUCUGCCUGGACUUUUCAAAUUCACUUGGCCUUCAAGCAACAGAGUCAUCCAUAUCUUCCACAUGUGAAUGUCAUUGCAAAGGUGACUCUAGACAAACUACAAACCGACGGACGGUCAGGCUCCCCAGGAGCCCCUUGGAUGGCAGCGUUGCUUCCGAGUGUUUCCUGUUUCUGGAAUUCCUUGUUAGGGAACUUCAAAGAAGAAAAGAAAAACUUGAAUUGUGUGGAAUUACUGUAUCUUUUACUUUUUUUUUGAAAAGAUAAACUUGUAAAUAGAAUGAUUUGAAAUACUAUAUGGCAAAGUUUUAUAUUUGAUAUUCUUUAAGCUAGUUGCUCACAUGCUUAGUCUUCAGUUGCUGAAGAAGUACGUUUAAGAGGGAGAGGGGGCGGCAAAGCUGAAGAGAGUCAAGGUCACUGUCCCCGCUUCGGCCUGAAGGAAAGAGAAGACAUUCCUAUGGCCUUGCUCUCUGCUGUCCCGUUGGUGGGCAUGACACAUCAGUGGUGUUCAGUCUUCAUGUGUUUCUGAGUAUCCCUUGGGCUUUGGAUUUGGAGAUGGGAAGAGCAUCUCCAGGCAAUGAGUUUUUCAAAGAAUGCCUACUUAGUGGUAAGAUGAAGCUCAGGAUUUAAAUAAGUGGGGUCAGGCAUUUGAUUUUUUGUCUUUCUUCUCAGGUGUAUUUCUUGGUACCCCCAAGAUAUCAGGACAGAAAGAGAUGAGUCAAUUGCUGUGUUCUUUACUUCUUUUUCUCCACAUCUUCUGAGACUUCAGAAAUGUGGACAAGCUAGUUUUCAAAUUUUGUGUGUGUCUGUAAGUUCUUAAAAAACCAGCUUCUUAGAAUGUUCAGUUCUCAGUGUGCUGCUGCUUUCCUUUUUCCUAAACAUUUUUAAACUCUUCCCUUUCACCUCCAAUUCCCUAUGAUCCCAAAGGAAGAGGAAGACUCCAGGAGGGAUGUAGAUUGUGCCAUCAUAGCUUUACAGGUGGUUUUAAAGUUAACAGGGGUUUGUCAUGGCGAUUCACUACUCAAUUUAUCAGCUCAAGAAUUAUACGACUCUUUUCCAGGAACUCACCCAAGAGCAAGCUAGACACUACCAUCGAAUCAGGGAAUAAGAAUUAAGAAUGGACAGGACCAAGAUAGAACUCAAGAAAGCCAUUGGAGAAAACUCGAGAAGAAAGGGAGUAUACUAAUAGGUUAGAUCUGUGGACCUGAGGACAAGAAGACGUUGGGAAAUGGGGGCCUCAGGGGAUGUGCAUUCACCUACUAUUGUGUUUCCCAAAGAAAGACCAACAUCAUGCUUUUAACACAUACAAUGGGGGUUUUUUAUUUGUGUUUUUGUUUGUUUGUUUGUUUGUUUGAUUUUUGAGACGGAGUCUCACUCUGUGGCCCAGGCUGGAGUGCAGUGGUGCAAUCUUGGCUCCCUGCAACCUGCACCUCCCAGGUUCAAGUGAUUCUCCUGCCUCAGCCUCCCGAGUAGCUGGGACUACGGGCAUGAGCCAUCACACCCAGCUAGUUUUUUGUAUUUUUAGUAGAGAUGGGGUUUUGCCAUGUUGGCCAGGCUGAUCUCGAAGUCCUGACCUCAAGUGAUCUGCCUGCCUCUGUUCCCCAAAGUGCUGGGAUUCCAGGUGUGAGCCACCAUGGCCGACCACAUUUGAUGUUUGAAAUUGAAACCUGUCCCAUCAUAAACUUACCUGGAGCUCAUGUGGAGGAACAGAAGGCCAAGAUCCUUGCUUUGGGAGUGCCUCACAAAGCAUCCCUGUAGACACGUGGCCCCAGCUUCACUGCUUGGAAGCAUGUCCCUCGCUCCUGAGUUGGCUCUGAUUUGAAACCAGGAGAAACAGAGCUGCUGCCAAUGGGAUCUUUUAGGUAACCCCCUCUCCAGCUUCCAUGUGUCUGUGCAGUGCCCAUGAGUUGCUGCCAAUGGGAGCUCUUAGGUACCUCCUCCCCAGCUUCCCUGUGGCUGUGUGGUGUCCAUGACAGAUGGCUGCCAAUGGGAUCUUUUAGGUAACCCCUCCCCAGCUUCCCUGUGUCUGUGUGGUGCCCUUGACAGAUGGCUGUUGUGUUUCCCUUUGCGCAGCCAGGCUCCCCUCCUUCCUAUUAGCUACAAAACUGGAUAAACUUCAGAAUAUGAGCCAAAGAGUAGGAAGGAACUUGAAGACUAGAAGAUUUUACUCUCUCCCCUAUCCAUGCCCCCAACCUCUGACUCUGUGUGAACAGGAAACUGUAGGGCAGAUGAGGAGAAUGAAUUGGUUAUCAGAGUGGAAGACCAUGGCCCGGGAUCCCUGAGCUUCCCCAGUAGCCUCCAGUUUGCCUUGUAAGACCCAGAAAUCACUUAGCCAUAGCCUGAAUCUUUUAGGGGUGUUAAGGGCAGCCUCUCACUCUUCCUUCAGGUUACUAACAAAAUGUCAUAGUUAAAGAAUGCCGUGCCAGGAGAAGAUAGCUGGUUUCAAAUCCCUGCCCCCAGGCAAGUAAAACCCUGCCUUGCUCAAGACAGAAGAUCUUCUCUCCUGUUUUUCAAAAUAAUUGUAUAUAGGGAUGGACCCUGUGCAGUGUGGCCUGCCGUGGUGUCCUAGAAUUGGAGCCAGUCUUUCGCUUAAUGUCCGAAGUAUUUCUACGGCCAAUAUGUGUUUUCUUAUGUCAGACCAAACUGUCUUUUUGACAUCAGUUCAUUUCCUUUCGCCAAGUGCUUUUCGGACAGAGAGGCAAAGAGAAUGAACAAUCAAGUAUUGACAGACUGGCAUUAGCAGGACAGAGCCAUACGAGUGACAAGGGCAUUCCAAGGCACUUGCCCAGAGCUACAGAGUUGGGUGUGCCACACCUGCGGCUCAAAGGGAGGGCCUUCUAUCCCCUGAGUUUCUAAUGCCUGAGAAUGGCAACUCUGUCUCACUAAAAGCUCUGUCUUGACUACAGAGGCUCCAAAACCAUUCGCAGAUGAAGGGGAGGAAGACAGAAAGAAGAAGCCAAAGAUAACCUGAUCCCUGCCUGACUGUUGGCACCUGUCAUCCUCUGGCUUCUGCUCCCAAAAGCAAGUCUGGAUGACUGAGUUUUGUGGACAUGGCGCUCCCAGAAUUUGCCCAAGUACUGAAUGUUUUGUGAGCAACCGUAUUCCCCAAGUAGGUAGCCAGCAAUGCAGAAACCAAACAGCCUGUUAGCUACCUGACUUUAAGAGGAAUGACCUAGGUGUUCUGCCAAGGGAGUUAUCUGUCAUCUCUGGCAAACUUGACAAUCAUCACUUACCUCGACAACCCUGCCCCACAUCCCUUUAUAAAGUCAGCAGGAUGUCCUCUCACCCACCCCGUGCUGGUGUCUAAAAAAUUUAUCUUGUCAUGCUCAAAUGUGUUUGGCAGCCACACUGAUCGGCUGAGUGCUGAACCACCGCUCUGUAAUUGUAGCAUCAAAAUGACAACAGCAGCAGAGCGGCAAAUCUUGCCCAGCCCCACAGCAUGCCUGAGACAAGACUCCAACAAGUAAUAAUUAACUUUUUUCUCCUGCCGCCUACAGUACCUGUCUAACUAAAGAGCUUCCCAAAGUGAAGGGAAAGGCCGUAGAGAGAAUCCAGGUGUUAUUCAGAGCCAGUCCUUGCUGAAAUGUGGUCUUCCAGUGGAAGCACCUGUAUUCUUGGGAGGAAAAAGUGCUGGAUGCAAAGUAACACCAGGACCAGAGAGAAAGAGGAAGGUGAACUAUCCUAAGGAGCUUUGGAUACUUUUUUAGAAGGAUAAAUAUUGUGCUUACUGAGGAGAAAAAAAAAAAAGCAAUCACAGAAAAAUUUCACAGCUAAUAUUUUUACAAAAGUUGUGCCGGACAUUAAAAAACGUCUCUCAAGGUGGAAUGCUUUACAGAAUAAAGGCUUAGCACAGGCCCAGACCCUUGUGUGGGUAUGACAUGACGCGACAUGUACAUGUCAAAAUUUGCUUUAGUGUAGUCAGAACCAGAGUAUUGAUAAACAAAAUGUUAGUUACCUGGAGCAGUCCUGGAGAGGCUAAGACAUCCUAUACUGUUGUACAUCAAGCAUUUCUACAAAGUUAUCCAGACACCUAAAAGCAGCUUUCUUGGUUAUCCAGAUCCAGUUUCUUGGUUAUGCCAGAAUCAGCCUUGUAUCUGACAAUGCACAUCUGUUGAUUCUAAAGUAUAUUUGUGUGUGUAUAUACAGCACAUAUUUACAUCUAUGAAGACACAGACACUCAUAGAGACCCACAUGAGCUGGCACUUGCUGAGCCUUUACAGCCUUUAAGACUUGGAGGUUGAGAAUUAGAGACAGAAGAGAGGCUGUUGAUGGCCUAUUAAAAUGAUCAAAGAUGUAAAUUCAGUGCCAUUUAAAAACUGUUCAUACUUAUCAAAUGAUUAUCUACAGCUACAUUCUUUGUUAACUUAUUUAAAGUCAUGUUGCAAAAAAGGUCAAACCCAUGAAUGCUUAGUAGCUAAGGCUAGUGUUCAGAAGCACUCUAAAAGACAUUUUGUCCACAUUUUGGAAAAGAAAAUAUUUGCAUGUUUAAUCAUAAUUUAGACUACCUUUGAGUAUACUGUAAAGUGCUGUGUGAUAUAAUAUCAAUAAAGUACUUAUUAAAUGGCACUUUAAUCUUUUCUUUUAAAAUAACGCACUGUUCUAAACUUCAGUAUUGACUAUUGAACUGGUGCAUAGAAUCCAAUGCUGUAAUUAGAAAGUAAUCUGUGACUAGAAUAGAUCUUUGUCCCUGUUAGUAGCCCUGUUGCCAUGUUCAGGCUUUUAAAAAAUGUGCUUUUGUGUCACAAAAUACAUCUAUAAAGAAAAUAGAAUUUCUGUUCAGAGGCCUCUGAAACUUGGCUUUCUUACAUUUGGUUGGUUUAUGUGACAAUCCCUAUGAAAUGAGUGGACGUAUGAUUUUUGAAUUAAAUGUCUUUUCCAUUUGGUGGUA